UACGAAGGGGGCGAGCGUUGUUCGGAUUUACUGGGCGUAAAGGGCGCGCAGGCGGCGCAUUUUGUCAGGCGUGAAAGCCCCGGGCUUAACCUGGGAACUGCGUUUGAUACGGAUGGGCUAGAGUUCGGGAGAGGAGAGUGGAAUUCCCAGUGUAGAGGUGAAAUUCGUAGAUAUUCGGAGGAACACCAGUGGCGAAGGCGGCUCACUGGUCCAUUACUGACGCUGAGGUGCGAAAGCGUGGGGAGCAAACAGG
rnacentral:rRNA from 1 species